UUGUUCAAUUUAACAUUUCAUUAUUUAUCAGUUCCACUCAAAAUUUUUGGUACUUACCUAAUGUAAAACUUUGUUUUGCAACUUCAUCCCAGUGUUAUCAGACAAAAGCACACAUUUGUAUCAUAACAUUAUACUAAUUUAUUGUUGUUUUAGGUCUGACUUCGAAUACGACGACGCCGCCGCCCGCAAGUCGCACGCGCGGUCAUCGAGAAAGGCCUUCGAGUCGGAAGACGACUACUUUGAAAGUAACCCCAAGAGGAUCGCAAAGCCGACUAAGCGCGCGUCGCAGCUUGCCGAAUCAGACGCAGAAUCGACUGUAGCAAG